UCCGGUUUGUCACCGGCAGUCCCAUUAGAGUGCUCAACUGAAUGUAGCAACUAAUGGCAAGGGUUUCGCUCGUUACAGCACUUAAGCUAACAUCUCACGACACGAGCUGACGACAGCCAUGCAACACCUGAUGAAGACUCCCCUUUCGGGGUCGUUACCGUUUCCGGUUCCUACCAUCUCCACUUCAAGCCCGGGUAAGGUUCUUCGCGUUGCAUCGAAUUGAACCACAUGCUCCACCGCUUGUGCGAGCCCCCGUCAAUUCCUUUGAGUUUUAACCUUGCGGCCGUACUCCCCAGGCGGGACACUUAACGCGUUAGCUGCAACAGAGAGAGGUAAACCCCCCUCCAUUUAGUGUCCAUCGUUUACGGCUAGGACUAC
rnacentral:misc_RNA from 1 species